GCCGCUCUGGGCCGUCCGCGCCCGGCUCACCUGUCCGCCUGCCCUGCCCUCCCCUCCCCUCCCCCGGCCAGCCCCUCCCCGGCGUGGCCCUGCGCCCUCUGUGGAGAACCCUCCAAGUGGACAGCUCCGGGCCCAGGCUGAGGCCUCCGGAGAGUCGGAGGACAAAACAGGGCCAGCAGCAGCCAGGGCGGAGGCACAAGUGGAGAGCAACUGUUCUGGAAGGUGCAUCGGAGGUGGCUGAGAUGUGAUGCAGAGAGAGCCGCUAGGAAAUCACUACCAAGUGCUGAGCGUGUAGUACAGUGGGUGAGCGAAGAAGGGAACCCGAUGUGAAGACGGAAGGAAGAGCGACGCAGCCGAGCCGGAAGUGGGGGCCACACCCAGCCCAGGCUUCUGGCUCGGUCAGAGGUUGCAGACCCCUGACGUGGGUGGAAAGAAAUCGAGGCUUCUUGCUGCAUCUUCAAAGCCCUCCAGGCCCGGGCCCGCCCAGUUCCCAGCCUCAUCUGCUGCAGCCCUCCCUCUCGGACCUGCCUGCUGCUCGAGCGCUCUCUCAGUGCCAUCUCCCUCUUCAGCCAGCCCGCCCAGCUACAUUGCGAUGGUCUGGGAGCUUCUCCUGGCCCUCUGGAGCCCCGGGGUCCUCCCAAGGGCUCUCCUCUAGUCUGACCUUUCACGUCCGCUCAAACCCACACUGAGAUCCUGCCCCUCGGGGUGGUGGUACUGGGAGGUGGGGCUUGGGGAGGUGGUUAGGUCCUAAGGGUGGAGCCCUCAUGAGAGAGGAGACCCCAGAGCUAGCGAGUCCCUUCCACCGUGAAGGUCACAGCCAGAAGAGGGUGCAUCCGUGAGGAAGCAGGCCCCCACCGACUCUGGGCCUGCUGCCUCCUUGGCCUCGGACACCCAGCCUCCCUGACUCCUGACUGGGAAAUUUCUUUCUGUCUGUCUGUCUGGCUGGCUGUCUCUUUCUUUCUUUCUUUCUUUCUUUCUUUCUUUCUUUCUUUCUUUCUUUCUUCCAGUGAAAUUGAUUUCUGUUGUUUAUAAAAAUCCAGUUUGUGAUAUUUUGUCAUAAACAGCCUAAGACCCCCCCCCCAUACUGGGAAUCGAACCCAAGAGGGAGCACUGAGCUAUAUCUCCAGUCCUUUCAAUUUUGAGACAGAGCCUCUGUAAGUUGCCCAGGCUGGUUUCAAACUUGGAAUUUUCCUGCCUCA
rnacentral:lncRNA from 1 species